rnacentral:rRNA from 1 species
CCCUUAGAUGUCCUGGGCGGCCCGCGCGCUACAAUGUCAGCUACUGAAGGUUAAUGCUUUGAAAGAGAGCGCGCUCUCCUUUUAAUUGCUCGCAUGCUGGGAUAAAUGAAUGCAAUUUUGUUUUGAACGAGGAAUUCCUAGUAGCCAUGUUUCACUAGAAGAUGGCGAAUGCGUCCCUGCCCUUUGUACACACCGCCCGUCGCUCCUACCGAUUGGAUGAUCCGGUGAGCUAUUCGGACUUUCGCAUUGUCGAUUUUCGGCUUUACGAGGGAAAGUCUCGCGAACCUUAUCAUCUAGAGGAAGGAGAAGUCGUAACA